rnacentral:rRNA from 1 species
GCACAGAGUUAGCCGGUGCUUGCUAAAGGGGUACCGUCAUCGAGCUGGAUGUUAGCCAACCCUUAUUCGUCCCCCUCCACAGAGCUUUACAACCCGAAGGCCUUCAUCACUCACGCGGCGUCGCUGCGUCAGGCUUUCGCCCAUUGCGCAAGAUUCCCCACUGCUGCCUCCCGUAGGAGUCUGGACCGUGUCUCAGUUCCAGUGUGGCUGAUCAUCCUCUCAGACCAGCUACCCGUCUUCGCCUUGGUAGGCCAUUACCCUACCAACUAGCUGAUGGGCCGCAGGCUCAUCCCCUGGCGCCAGCUUUCUUGAAGAGGCCGGCUUUGACCUCACCUCCUUUCGAAGGCGUGGUCUCAUGCUGUAUUAGCGCUCCUUUCGGAACGUUAUCCACCACCUGGGGGCAGAUUACCUACGUGUUACUCACCCGUGCGCCGCUUUACCGGGGCCGAAGCCCUUUCUCGCUCGACUUGCAUGUGUUAAGCGCGCCGCUAACGUUCGUU